UACGCAGGGGGCAAGCGUUAUCCGGAUUUACUGGGUGUAAAGGGAGCGUAGACGGCGAUGCAAGUCUGAAGUGAAAGCCCGGGGCUCAACCCCGGGACUGCUUUGGAAACUGUAUGGCUGGAGUGCUGGAGAGGCAAGCGGAAUUCCUAGUGUAGCGGUGAAAUGCGUAGAUAUUAGGAAGAACACCAGUGGCGAAGGCGGCUUGCUGGACAGUAACUGACGUUGAGGCUCGGAAGCGUGGGGAGCAAACAGG
rnacentral:rRNA from 1 species